rnacentral:rRNA from 1 species
UCUGGGUCCACCUCCCACCCGUGUUUAUUUACCUUGUUGCUUCGGCGGGCCCGCCUUAACUGGCCGCCGGGGGGCUUACGCCCCCGGGCCCGCGCCCGCCGAAGACACCCUCGAACUCUGUCUGAAGAUUGUAGUCUGAGUGAAAAUAUAAAUUAUUUAAAACUUUCAACAACGGAUCUCUUGGUUCCGGCAUCGAUGAAGAACGCAGCGAAAUGCGAUACGUAAUGUGAAUUGCAAAUUCAGUGAAUCAUCGAGUCUUUGAACGCACAUUGCGCCCCCUGGUAUUCCGGGGGGCAUGCCUGUCCGAGCGUCAUUGCUGCCCUCAAGCACGGCUUGUGUGUUGGGCCCCGUCCUCCGAUUCCGGGGGACGGGCCCGAAAGGCAGCGGCGGCACCGCGUCCGGUCCUCGAGCGUAUGGGGCUUUGUCACCCGCUCUGUAGGCCCGGCCGGCGCUUGCCGAUCAACCCAAAUUUUUAUCCAGGUUGACCUCGGAUCAGGUAGGGAUACCCGCUGAACUUAAGCAUAUCAAUAAGCCGGAGGA